GCAUGCUUAACACAUGCAAGUCGCACGGACCCUUCGGGGUUAGUGGCGCACGGGUGAGUAACACGUAGGAAUCUGUCUUGAGGUGGGGGAUAACUCCGGGAAACUGGAGCUAAUACCGCAUGAUAACUGAGGUUCAAAGGUCGCAAGACCGCCUUGAGAGGGGCCUGCGUUCGAUUAGUUAGUUGGUGGGGUAAUGGCCUACCAAGACGAUGAUCGAUAGCUGGUUUGAGAGGAUGAUCAGCCACACUGGGACUGAGACACGGCCCAGACUCCUACGGGAGGCAGCAGUGGGGAAUAUUGGACAAUGGGGGCAACCCUGAUCCAGCAAUGCCGCGUGUGUGAAGAAGGUCUUCGGAUUGUAAAACACUUUCGUUGGGGACGAUGAUGACGGUACCCAAAGAAGAAGCCCCGGCUAACUUCGUGCCAGCAGCCGCGGUAAUACGAAGGGGGCGAGCGUUGCUCGGAAUAACUGGGCGUAAAGGGCGCGUAGGCGGCCGAUAGCUGUCANAUGUGAAAUUUUUGGGCUCAACCCGAAAACUGCAUUUGAUACNUAUUGNCUAGAGUGCGAGAGAGGAUUGCGGAAUUCCCAGUGUAGAGGUGAAAUUCGUAGAUAUUGGGAAGAACACCAGUUGCGA
rnacentral:rRNA from 1 species